UACGAAGGGGGCUAGCGUUGCUCGGAAUUACUGGGCGUAAAGGGCGCGUAGGCGGACCUGUCAGUCAGGCGUGAAAGCCCAGGGCUCAACCCUGGAACUGCGCUUGAUACUGCGGGUCUAGAGUGCCGGAGAGGAUGGUGGAAUUCCCAGUGUAGAGGUGAAAUUCGUAGAGAUUGGGAAGAACACCGGUGGCGAAGGCGGCCAUCUGGACGGCAACUGACGAUGAGGCGCGAAAGAGUGGGGAGCAAACAGG
rnacentral:rRNA from 1 species